rnacentral:misc_RNA from 1 species
GAAAUGCGAUAAGUAGUGUGAAUUGCAGAAUUCAGUGAAUCAUCGAAUCUUUGAACGCACAUUGCGUCCUUUGGUAUUCCAAAGGGCAUGCCUGUUCGAGCGUCAUUUGUACCCUCAAGCUUUGCUUGGUGUUGGGCGUCUUGUCUCUAGCUUUGCUGGAGACUCGCCUUAAAGUAAUUGGCAGCCGGCCUACUGGUUUCGGAGCGCAGCACAAGUCGCACUCUCUAUCAGCAAAGGUCUAGCAUCCAUUAAGCCUUUUUUUCAACUUUUGACCUCGGAUCAGGUAGGGAUACCCGCUGAACUUAAGC